rnacentral:rRNA from 1 species
UACGUAGGGUCCAAGCGUUAUCCGGAAUCACUGGGCGUAAAGGGUGCGUAGGCGGGUCUUUAAGUCAGGGGUGAAAUCCUGGAGCUCAACUCCAGAACUGCCUUUGAUACUGAAGAUCUUGAGUUCGGGAGAGGUGAGUGGAACUGCGAGUGUAGAGGUGAAAUUCGUAGAUAUCGGAAGGAACACCUGUGGCGAAAGCGGCUCACUGGACCAUUACUGACGCUGAGGCACGAAAGCUAGGGGAGCAAACAGG